ACUGCCAAGUCGACAAGAUACGGAGGAAGGUGGGGAUGACGUCAAGUCCUCAUGGCCUUUAUGACCAGGGCUACACACGUACUACAAUGGCCGAUACAAAGGGCAGCGACACUGCGAGGUGAAGCCAAUCCCGUAAAAUCGGUCUCAGUCCGGAUUGGAGUCUGCAACUCGACUCCAUGAAGUUGGAAUCGCUAGUAAUCGUGGAUCAGCAUGCCACGGUGAAUACGUUCCCGGGCCUU
rnacentral:rRNA from 1 species